rnacentral:tRNA from 1 species
GAGGGUAUAGCUCAAGUGGUAGAGCGCAUGCUCAGCAUGCCCAAGGUCCUGGGUUCAAUCCCCAGUACCUUCU